rnacentral:rRNA from 1 species
AGCGAACGUUUGCGGCGGGCCUAACACAUGCAAGUCGAACGCACUAGCAAUAGUGAGUGGCGCACGGGUGCGUAACACGUGGGUAAUCAACCCUUCAGCUUGGGAUAACGACUUGAAAGGGUCGCUAAUACCGGAUACGGCGAGAGAGGCUUCGGCAUUUCUCGAGAAAGCCUCGCAAGGGGCACUGAAGGACGAGCCUGCGGCCCAUCAGCUAGUUGGUGAGGUAAGAGCUCACCAAGGCGAAGACGGGUAGCUGGUCUGAGAGGAUGAUCAGCCACACUGGAACUGAGACACGGUCCAGACUCCUACGGGAGGCAGCAGUGGGGAAUAUUGCGCAAUGGGCGAAAGCCUGACGCAGCCACGCCGCGUGAGCGAUGAAGGCCUUCGGGUCGUAAAGACUCUGUGGGGAGAGACGAAGAAAG